rnacentral:rRNA from 1 species
UACGUAGGGUCCGAGCGUUGUCCGGAAUUAUUGGGCGUAAAGGGCUCGUAGGCGGUUUGUCGCGUCGGGAGUGAAAACACGGGGCUUAACCCCGUGCCUGCUUCCGAUACGGGCAGACUAGAGGUAUGCAGGGGAGAACGGAAUUCCUGGUGUAGCGGUGAAAUGCGCAGAUAUCAGGAGGAACACCAAUGGCGAAGGCAGCUCGCUGGGACGGUACUGACGCUGAGGCGCGAAAGCGUGGGGAGCAAACAGG